CCGACUAGUUCUGGGUUCGAGUCCCGGGCAACCCA
rnacentral:tRNA from 1 species